UACGAAGGUGGCAAGCGUUGUUCGGAUUUACUGGGCGUACAGGGAGCGUAGGCGGUUGGAUAAGCCCUCCGUGAAAUCUCCAGGCUUAACCUGGAAAGUGCAGAGGGGACUGUUCGGCUAGAGGAUGGGAGAGGAGCGCGGAAUUCCCGGUGUAGCGGUGAAAUGCGUAGAGAUCGGGAGGAAGGCCGGUGGCGAAGGCGGCGCUCUGGAACAUUUCUGACGCUGAGGCUCGAAAGCGUGGGGAGCAAACAGG
rnacentral:rRNA from 1 species